rnacentral:rRNA from 1 species
GCUGGCGGUAUGCUUAAGACAUGCAAGUCGAACGGAAUCUUCGGAUUCAGUGGCGGACGGGUGAGUAACACGUGGGAAUCUACUGAGUAGUGGGGGACAGCCCGGCGAAAGCCGGAUUAAUACCGCAUACGCCCUACGGGGGAAAGGCGCAAGCCGCUAUUCAAUGAGCCCGCGUAAGAUUAGCUAGUUGGUAAGGUAAAGGCUUACCAAGGCGACGAUCUUUAGCUGGUCUGAGAGGAUGGCCAGCCACAUCGGGACUGAGACACGGCCCGGACUCCUACGGGAGGCAGCAGUCGGGAAUAUUGGACAAUGGGCGCAAGCCUGAUCCAGCAAUACCGCGUGUGUGAAGAAGGCCUGCGGGUUGUAAAGCACUUUCAGUGGGGAAGAUAAUGACGUUACCCACAGAAGAAGCACCGGCUAACUCCGUGCCAGCAGCCGCGGUAAUACGGAGGGUGCAAGCGUUAAUCGGAAUUACUGGGCGUAAAGCGUGCGUAGGCGGUUUUUUAAGUCAGAUGUGAAAUCCCCGGGCUCAACCUGGGAACUGCACCUGAUACUGGGAGACUAGAAUGUGGGAGAGGAGAGUGGAAUUUCCGGUGUAGCGGUGAAAUGCAUAGAGAUCGGAAGGAACACCAGCGGCGAAGGCGGCUCUCUGGACCAACAUUGACGCUGAGGCACGAAAGCGUGGGUAGCAAACAGGAUUAGAUACCCUGGUAGUCCACGCCGUAAACGAUGUCAACUAGCCCGUCAGUCCCGCUUUAAGGAUUGGGUGGUGGAGCUAACGUAUUAAGUUGACCGCCUGGGGAGUACGCUCGCAAGAGUAAACUCAAAGGAAUUGACGGGGGCCCGCACAAGCGGUGG